rnacentral:rRNA from 1 species
GAUGAACGCUGGCGGCGUGCCUAAUACAUGCAAGUCGAGCGAACAGACGAGGAGCUUGCUCCUCUGACGUUAGCGGCGGACGGGUGAGUAACACGUGGAUAACCUACCUAUAAGACUGGGAUAACUUCGGGAAACCGGAGCUAAUACCGGAUAAUAUAUUGAACCGCAUGGUUCAAUAGUGAAAGACGGUUUUGCUGUCACUUAUAGAUGGAUCCGCGCCGCAUUAGCUAGUUGGUAAGGUAACGGCUUACCAAGGCAACGAUGCGUAGCCGACCUGAGAGGGUGAUCAGCCACACUGGAACUGAGACACGGUCCAGACUCUUACGGGAGGCAGCAGUAGGGAAUCUUCCGCAAUGGGCGAAAGCCUGACGGAGCAACGCCGCGUGAGUGAUGAAGGUCUUCGGAUCGUAAAACUCUGUUAUUAGGGAAGAACAAAUGUGUAAGUAACUAUGCACGUCUUGACGGCACCUAAUCAGAAAGCCACGGCUAACUACGUG